rnacentral:pre_miRNA from 1 species
CAAGUACUCCCUCCGUCCGGAAUUACUUGUCACGGAAAUGGAUGGAAAUAGAUGUAUCUAUAACUAAAAUACGUCUAGAUACAUCCAUUUCUAUGACAAGUAUUUCCGGACGGAGGGAAUACAAU